rfam:Zea mays cultivar B73 B73V4_ctg5, whole genome shotgun sequence.
AUAUCUUUAUAGACCUUUUCGUUAAGAUAAAGUGUAAUAUUUAUUUUUAUCAUCUCUAUUUUUGGUAUGUGAACCAAAUGUUCACUUUGAUAUUAAGUUUAUGUUUUGUUUGAGGGUGCACCACACUAGCAUGGCAUUGGGUUCUCGUGUGUCGCUCAAUUGUUACACUAUAGCUACGUCUGGCUAACCCAAU